rnacentral:rRNA from 1 species
UAGGGAAUUUUUCACAAUGAGCGAAAGCUUGAUGGAGCAAUGCCGCGUGAACGAUGAAGGUCUUUAAGAUUGUAAAGUUCUUUUAUUUGGGAAGAAUGACUUUAGCAGGUAAUGGCUAGAGUUUGACUGUACCAUUUUGAAUAAGUGACGACUAACUAUGUGCCAGCAGUCGCGGUAAUACAUAGGUCGCAAGCGUUAUCCGGAUUUAUUGGGCGUAAAGCAAGCGCAGGCGGAUUGAAAAGUCUGGUGUUAAAGGCAGCUGCUUAACAGUUGUAUGCAUUGGAAACUAUUAAUCUAGAGUGUGGUAGGGAGUUUUGGAAUUCCAUGUGGAGCGGUGAAAUGCGUAGAUAUAUGAAGGAACACCAGUGGCGAAGGCGAAAACUUAGGCCAUUACUGACGCUUAGGCUUGAAAGUGUGGGGAGCAAAUAGGAUUAGAUACCCUAGUAGUCCACACCGUAAACGAUAGAUACUAGCUGUCGGGGCGAUCCCCUCGGUAGUGAAGUUAACACAUUAAGUAUCUCGCCUGGGUAGUACAUUCGCAAGAAUG